rnacentral:lncRNA from 1 species
UCUGCCGUAAUUCGCGCCCUCCAGACUUUCCUAUCUAGGGUCAUGUCCUCGGGGAGCUGUAACUAUUCCAUGUCCCGCCUAAUCACCUCACCCCAGUACUUCUUCGGCCUACCCCUACCCCGCCUAAAACCAUCCAACGCUAGCCUCUCACACCUACGGACCGGGGCAUCCAUGCCCCUCCUCUUCACGUGUCCGAACCAUCUCAAUCGUGCUUCCCGCAUCUUACACUCCACUGAAGUCACACCAACCUUCUCCCGGAUAGUCUCAUUCCG